rnacentral:rRNA from 1 species
UGUAGUCAUAUGCUUGUCUCAAAGAUUAAGCCAUGCAUGUCUAAGUAUAAGCAACUUGUACUGUGAAACUGCGAAUGGCUCAUUAAAUCAGUUAUCGUUUAUUUGAUAGUACCUAACUACAUGGAUACCUGUGGUAAUUCUAGAGCUAAUACAUGCUAAAAACCCCGACUUCAGGAAGGGGUGUAUUUAUUAGAUAAAAAACCAACGCCCUUCGGGGCUCCUUGGUGAAUCAUAAUAACUUAACGAAUCGCAUGGCCUUGCGCCGGCGAUGGCUCAUUCAAAUUUCUGCCCUAUCAACUUUCUAUGGUAGGAUAGUGGCCUACCAUGGUGGCAACGGGUAACGGGGAAUUAGGGUUCGAUUCCGGAGAGGGAGCCUGAGAAACGGCUACCAUAUCCAAGGAAGGCAGCAGGCGCGCAAAUUACCCAAUCCCGAUACGGGGAGGUAGUGACAAUAAAUACUGGUACGGGGCUCUUUUGGGUCUCGUAAUUGGAAUGAGAAC